rnacentral:rRNA from 1 species
UACAGAGGGUGCGAGCGUUAAUCGGAAUUACUGGGCGUAAAGCGCACGUAGGCGGCUUGGUAUGUCGGGUGUGAAAUCCCCGGGCUCAACCUGGGAACUGCAUCCGAAACUGCCUUGCUCGAGUAUGGGAGAGGGAAGUGGAAUUUCCGGUGUAGCGGUGAAAUGCGUAGAUAUCGGAAGGAACAUCAGUGGCGAAGGCGACUUCCUGGUCCAAUACUGACGCUCAGGUGCGAAAGCGUGGGGAGCAAACAGG